rnacentral:rRNA from 1 species
UUUAAGCUUCAAACUGGGAUUAGAUACCCCACUAUUCUUGGAUUUAAAUAAAUGAAAAUUUACCAGAGUACUAUGAAUCAUAUUAAAAAUUUAAAACUCAAAGAGCUUGGCGGUGUUUUAGACCUCUCAGGGGAACCUGUCUCUUAAUCGACAAUCCACGUUAUACCUAACCCUUUUUAGCUUAACAGUUUGUAUACCAUCGUCGUCAGGUAACUUUUAAAAAUUUAGAAGUUGGCAACCAAAUACUUAUGAAUUUAGACGUCAGAUCAAGGUGCAGCUUAUAUAGGGGUGAGGAUGGGUUACAAUUAAUAAUUAUAAAUACGGAUAUAAUAAUGAAAUACGUAUUAUAAUGAAGGAGGACUUGAAAGUAAGAAUAACAUAUAAAAAUAAUCUGAAUUAGGCUCUGAAACAUGCACACACCGCCCGUCACCCUCUGCAGUCAA